GCCUUCGGUGUGUAAUGGUCAGCACACAUUUGGUUCGUAUUCGAGAGGCUGAGGUUCGAGUCCUGGCGAGGGCA
rnacentral:tRNA from 1 species